rnacentral:lncRNA from 1 species
UUUUUCGGAAGGAAUGAUCCGUGAAUGCGGUCUAGGACCGGCAUCAAGGCAAGUAAUAAGACGAAUUGACCCCUGCUUGAUGAAUGGACACGCAAUGUUACUAAUCAGAAAGGAAGGAUCAUCGUAAGGUAUGGAUAACGAAUCAAUGGAAUUUACUUCCGUCAGGUAUGUAUAAAAAGAAGUGUAACUUUAAUAGGAGGUUAGUACUCGACUAGAAAUGGAUGUGUCAGAAUAGAAUGUAUGUAUAUAUACAAACCGUAAUGCAAAAUGUGGAGUGAAUUUCAAAAUGUUCGUAAUGAUCGUCGGGUAGUAUUGAACUUGAAUGCUCGUAACUGUGGAAAUUCUGAUAGAAUAUAAGAGACGAUAAGUAUCCUUAAGAAAUGCUAACUUUGAUGCUCGGCUUGUUGGCCAUGUUC